ensembl:lncRNA
UUAUAUAAACAUUUUUAAAACAAUACAAUUUGUCAGUUAAUCAGCUACCUAGCCAAUCAAAGCGAGUAGUUGGGUCCGGAAAAUAAGUAAUUAUUUUAUACAAUUUUACAUAAUAGAAGUAUUUAUAUGUACAUACAUCUAAAACAGGGAUGGGCAACUGGCGGCCCGCAAUUUCUAAAAUUACUAAAUCCAACCAGGAGAGGUCGCUAGUUUCCAGCCGAAACAAGUAGCAGUAGUAGAAGCAAAGUCCUUGUAAGGUGUUCUAUAGAAAAAAAUAAAUAAAAAGCAAGAAAAAUUUCCAGUGUAAUUCUUGUUUUUCAGUAAAGAUGGUAAACGGAUCAUCUUUUUACAAAGUUCAGGGACACUUAUACUGUAUAUGUUUGUUUUUUUUGGAAACGAAAGGAAAGAUUUUAAUGUAAAUUGUAAGAUUUUAAUUAAGAUCUUAAUGUAAAUUACACACCUGCUCACAAAGAGAAGCAAGAAAGAGGUGCACUUGUAUUAGUUUUACUAGUAUAAAACCGUGGUUAAUUUUCGUAAGGGGUCGUCAACAAAGCCUUUUUGCCAAAUGCAUAUAUGUUCUUAAAUAUAUUUUUAUUCAUGGUAAUAUGAAGGAUUAUUGUAAUACAAUUUCUAAUAACUAUUUUUUUAAUAAGCCCUUUUAACUGUUCUCUGAGGUUGUGUUGAGAAUGUUUUGUUGGCCAGUAAUCUAAAAUAGGACCUCUGUAGUCUGUAAUUUUGUUUGUUACACAUUUAAAUAAUAAAUACCUAAUAAUAAAACCUUUAAAAACUAAUUACAUACAUUGAUUUCCCUUAAUAAAAAGGAAAUUAAGUACUAGUGAUGGCCCUGACCUUGCCCCUUGGUAUGAAGGAGAAGACAUGCUGGUCCUUGUCACUCUUGAAGUAAAAGAUCAGUAAAAGUACUCCCCACUUUCCGCAAACUACAGACUGCUCAGUGAAUCUUUUCACCACUGGUAGUAUGCUAACAUCAUUAUUGUAUUAUAACGUCUUUCAGAACAGAAAUAUGGAAAGGUUGAAGGUGUAUGAAACUCUCAGACAACAAAUGGAUAAUGAUGAGAUUACUCAAAAGGGCUUUGAUGCCAGAGUAAAGGAUUUAUUGCUUAAAUGUGGUGCAGAAGGAACAUCAGGUAUUCUGUUUUUUAUCUUAACAGAUUGGCAAGACUUAUAUUCAUUUAAUUAAUUUUCUUCUAUAUACUUUGUUUUUCAACAAAUAAUUGUUAGAAAACUUUUAAUAUUUUUUCACUUUUAAAAAAAUGAUCAAUUGAUACAUCUUUGGUGAUUACUUUGAAUAAAAGACCAAGACGAUAAACA